rnacentral:rRNA from 1 species
GCGUUAUCCGGAUUUACUGGGUUUAAAGGGAGCGCAGGCGGAUCAGUAAGUCAGUGGUGAAAUACCCGUGCUUAACAUGGGAACUGCCAUUGAUACUAUUGGUCUUGAAUAUCGUUGAGGUUUGCGGAAUGGGUCAUGUAGCGGUGAAAUGCAUAGAUAUGACCCGGAACACCUAUUGCGAAGGCAGCAGGCUAAACGAAGAUUGACGCUGAGGCUCGAAAGCGUGGGGAUCAAACAGGAUUAGAUACCCUGGUAGUCCACGCCCUAAACGAUGAUUACUCGACAUUUGUGAUACACAAUAAGUGUCUGAGCGAAAGCAUUAAGUAAUCCACCUGGGAAGUACGACCGCAAGGUUGAAACUCAAAGGAAUUGACG